AGCAAGUCUGAGAACGAGUGAAAUGCUUUUUCUCUCAAGGACAAGCUGUGAUGGGGAGCGAAAUUUAGUAGCGAAGUUCCUGAUGUCACACUGCCAAGAAAAGCUUCUAGUGAGAAAGUAACUGCCCGUACCGCAAACCGACACAGGUAGUUGAGGAGAGAAUCCUAAGGUGUGCGAGAGAACUCUCGUUAAGGAACUCGGCAAAAUGACCCCGUAACUUCGGGAGAAGGGGUGCUGACCGCAAGGUCAGCCGCAGUGAAUAGGCCCAAGCGACUGUUUAUCAAAAACACAGGUCUCUGCAAAAUCGAAAGAUGACGUAUAGGGGCUGACGCCUGCCCGGUGCUGGAAGGUUAAGAGGAGAGGUUAGCGCAAGCGAAGCUUUGAAUUGAAGCCCCAGUAAACGGCGGCCGUAACUAUAACGGUCCUAAGGUAGCGAAAUUCCUUGUCGGGUAAGUUCCGACCCGCACGAAAGGCGUAACGAUUUGGGCACUGUCUCAACGAGAGACUCGGUGAAAUUAUAGUACCAGUGAAGAUGCUGGUUACCCGCGACAGGACGGAAAGACCCCAUGGAGCUUUACUGCAGUUUGAUAUUGCGUGUUUGUAUCACAUGUACAGGAUAGGUAGGAGCCGAAGAUACCGGGACGCCAGUCUCGGAGGAGGCAACGGUGGGAUACUACCCUUGUGAUAUGACCACUCUAACCCGCUGCUCUUAGCGAGCAGGGAGACAGUGUCAGACGGGCAGUUUGACUGGGGCGGUCGCCUCCAAAAAUGUAACGGAGGCGCCCAAAGGUUCCCUCAGAAUGGUUGGAAAUCAUUCGUAGAGUGUAAAGGCAGAAGGGAGCUUGACUGCGAGACCUACAAGUCGAGCAGGGACGAAAGUCGGGCUUAGUGAUCCGGUGGUUCCGCAUGGAAGGGCCAUCGCUCAACGGAUAAAAGCUACCCUGGGGAUAACAGGCUUAUCUCCCCCAAGAGUUCACAUCGACGGGGAGGUUUGGCACCUCGAUGUCGGCUCAUCGCAUCCUGGGGCUGUAGUCGGUCCCAAGGGUUGGGCUGUUCGCCCAUUAAAGCGGUACGCGAGCUGGGUUCAGAACGUCGUGAGACAGUUCGGUCCCUAUCCGUCGCGGGCGUUGGAAAUUUGAGAGGAGCUGUCCUUAGUACGAGAGGACCGGGAUGGACACACCGCUGGUGUACCAGUUGUUCUGCCAAGAGCAUCGCUGGGUAGCUAUGUGUGGACGGGAUAAACGCUGAAAGCAUCUAAGCGUGAAGCCCCCCUCAAGAUGAGAUUUCCCAUCACUUCAAGUGAGUAAGACCCCUGAGAGAUGAUCAGGUAGAUAGGUUGGGAGUGGAAGUACAGCGAUGUAUGGAGCGGACCAAUACUAAUCGGUCGAGGACUUAACCA
rnacentral:rRNA from 1 species